GCAAACUUGGUCAUUUAGAGGAAGUAAAAGUCGUAACAAGGUUUCCGUAGGUGAACCUGCGGAAGGAUCAUUAUUGAAUAAACUUGGUUGGGGCUGUUUGCUGGCUCUUUGGAGCAAUGUGUGCACGCCUCACUCCAUUUCAAUCUCCUGUGCACCUUUUGUAGACCUUGAACAUGUUUCGAGAAGAAUUGUUUUUCUCGGUUGGAGGAUUGCUGUGUGAUGGCCACUCAGCUGUCUUCGUGUUUCUGGUCUAUGUGUAUAAUACACAUCCCUAAAAAAAUUUGUAUUGGACUGUGAUAGUAUAAGGCUUUCAUGCCUUUAAAAUGAAAUACAACUUUCAACAACGGAUCUCUUGGCUCUCGCAUCGAUGAAGAACGCAGC
rnacentral:misc_RNA from 1 species